CUUAUUAUAAUAGUUAGAGAGCUUCCAUUGACUAAGUUACCCUAGAGGUCAGGGUCACACCCCCUGGUAAUAACACCCCUGGUGUUAACAGCAGCCUUUGGGUUCUAGAGGUCAAGGUCACAGCACUGGUGUUAACAGCAGCCUUCAGGUUCUAGAGGUCAAGGUCACAGCACUGGUGUUAACAGCAGCCUUCAGGUUCUAGAGGUCAAGGUCACAGCACUGGUGUUAACAGCAGCCUUCAGGUUCUAGAGGUCAAGGUCACAUCCCAGGUGUUAACAGCAGCCUUCAGGUUCUAGAGGUCAAGGUCACACCCCUGGUGUUAACAGCAGCCUUCAGGUUCUAGAGGUCAAGGUCACACCCCUGGUGUUAACAGCAGCCUUCAGGUUCUAGAGGUCAAGGUCACACCCCUGGUGUUAACAGCAGCCUUCAGGUUCUAGAGGUCAAGGUCACACCCCUGGUGUUAACAGCAGCCUUCAGGUUCUAGAGGUCAAGGUCACACCCCUGGUGUUAACAGCAGCCUUCAGGUUCUAGAGGUCAAGGUCACACCCCUGGUGUUAACAGCAGCCUUCAGGUUCUAGAGGUCAAGGUCACACCCCUGGUGUUAACAGCAGCCUUCAGGUUCUAGAGGUCAAGGUCACACCCCUGGUGUUAACAGCAGCCUUCAGGUUCUAGAGGUCAAGGUCACACCCCUGGUGUUAACAGCAGCCUUCAGGUUCUAGAGGUCAAGGUCACACCCCUGGUGUUAACAGCAGCCUUCAGGUUCUAGAGGUCAAGGUCACACCCCUGGUGUUAACAGCAGCCUUCAGGUUCUAGAGGUCAAGGUCACACCCCUGGUGUUAACAGCAGCCUUCAGGUUCUAGAGGUCAAGGUCACACCCCUGGUGUUAACAGCAGCCUUCAGGUUCUAGAGGUCAAGGUCACACCCCUGGUGUUAACAGCAGCCUUCAGGUUCUAGAGGUCAAGGUCACACCCCUGGUGUUAACAGCAGCCUUCAGGUUCUAGAGGUCAAG